rnacentral:rRNA from 1 species
CAGCAGCCACGGUAAGACAGAGGAUGCAAGCGUUAUCCGGAAUGAUUGGGCGUAAAGUGUCUGUAGGUGGCUUUUCAAGUCCGCCGUCAAAUCCCAGGGCUCAACCCUGGACAGGUGGUGGAAACUACCAAGCUGGAGUAUGGUAGGGGCAGAGGGAAUUUCCGGUGGAGCGGUGAAAUGCAUUGAGAUCGGAAAGAACACCAACGGCGAAAGCACUCUACUGGGCCGACAUUGACACUGAGAGGCGAAAGGUAGGGGAGCAAAUGGGAUUAGAUACCCCUGUAGUCCCUGUCUCUUAUAA